rnacentral:rRNA from 1 species
AACGAACGCUGGCGGCAGGCUUAACACAUGCAAGUCGAACGCUCACUUCGGUGAGAGUGGCAGACGGGUGAGUAACGCGUGGGAACAUACCUUUCGGUACGGAAUAACUCAGGGAAACUUGAGCUAAUACCGUAUACGCCCCGUUGGGGGAAAGAUUUAUCGCCGAAAGAUUGGCCCGCGUCUGAUUAGCUAGUUGGAGA